rnacentral:misc_RNA from 1 species
CGCACGCACACUUUCACUUUGGGUGCAGUCACACACACACACGGGCAUUCACAGAUAUCCCACAAGGUUGCCGCUCUUCUCGCUAUCGUCGAUAGACUCGCCCAGGCCCCGCGUGUGUGUUUGUUUUUCCGCUUGUGCCCGAGUCUCUCUGCCUUACUCAUGAAGGUAGUUUCAGCCUUUGCCCGGGCGGCGGUCCUGUCCCUACCGCUGCUGUUGCCGUUGUUCGUCGUGCUCGCGGCAUGGGGAGCGCCCCUGUCUCAAGCUCAGGAAAUGGACAAGGAAGAGAGUCCCGUGUCUCCGGUAUAGUCUCAGUGCGCACGCCUUGGCAUGUGGCCCCGUCGGUGCCAUCCCUGUACCGUGCCGCCGGUGAGGCUCCGCGUCUGCACGUCGCCGUCAUGAGCGUGCCGUUGCAGGGGCACUUCAACUCUGAGCGCUUGCGGAGGAGAUGGCCUGUCGAGGCCACAAAGUAGCAUGCGUGUUGGAGCGGGCAGUGUGGUGUGAAACUCUACUGCGGCACAGCCAGCACACGGCGCCGCUUGUUCUCGCAAACAUCAACGCAGCAGCGUAUGCGAAGCCGAUGUCAGAAGGCAACGGCCCGCUCGAUGUUCAGGGUGUCGUCAUUCCACCCUGCAAGGAUGUGUUCACUGAGCGAGACUUUCAUGCCAUUACCAGUGAGAAAACCUCCACCAUCAUGUCCUUCCAGGUGCUCUUUGAGAACAUAUUCAAGCACCACAAGCUGGCGUUGCCAGACUACGCACUAGUGGCGCAGGCCGUGCAUGCCGCUCUGCCUCUCACGAUGCUUCUCUGCGACAUCAUCAUCUACGCGUGCGCUGCCGUGGGCCUCAAGAUGGGCUUUUCGGUGUUCAGCGUGUUUCCUUUCACCGCGCAAAUGCCCGUCGGCCUGCAGGCAAUGUUGCCAGCCGUGGGACUGGCCUUCCCGCGUCACGUGACCCUCCGCGCCCGCAUCACCAACUUUGCCUUCCAAUCCGCCGUCGCCGCCAACGGUGUUCCGCCGCUGCGGGACGUCGACGGCGUGGCGGGCAUGUACGGCCCAAUCAUCGGUCCGAUUGUGUCGGGACUCAGCAUCCCUCCGCCCCUCAGCCCAAACAUCCACCAGGUCGGUCCGCUGAAAACCCGCGAUCAGCGCCAACCCUACCGCUGACAGGACCUGCCGUUAGACCUCGCCGCUUUCAUGGGCAGCUGCUCACAAGGCGUCGUCUACGUAAACUGGGGCACCCUAAGCUUGCCAGACCCGGGGGUGGAGGAUCGCCUGCAGGACGCGCUCGUUGAAGCCGCCCCGCUUAGCGUGGUGUGGAAGCGGCGCACCGCAUCAGCAAGGCCACCGCCGCCGGCUGCUCGCUUCUACAUGACGUCCUGGCUUCCGUCGACUGUAGCGGUUCUGAAGCACUCGAACACGCGCAUGUUCCUCACGCACUGCGGCGUCACUUCCCUGCUGGCGUCUGUCGAGGCGGUGGUACCGAACGUCGGCCUCCCACUCUUCGCCGGUCAAGCGGAUGCUUGCCAGCGCGUCGAGGAGGUCGGCAUCCGACUUCCAUCCAGCGAAACGAAAGCCUUCACCCGCGCCGGCGUUGUCGCCGUCAUUGCGGCUGUCACUGAAAACCACAGCACCCCAUGGUGCGGCAGCUGCGGAAACUGCGCGCCAUCGCCACCGCAUACGGCGGCCCACAGCGCGCUGCUGACAUUAUCGAAGGUCGUCAGUACAACUUGCUCAUCGGAACACAACACUCCGGCGCGUGCGCGAGCUUAUCGGUUCCGCUGCAAAUCGAGUACGCCCUCGCCGCGUGGUCGGCGGCUUAGGUGGUUGGUAUGGGUGUGCGUGCCCCGUCGUUUGCGCGGGCGGUGCCUUCCGAUCCCCGCGGUGUGGUCGAUGCUCUGGCGCACGACUCGCCCUGCGAAAGCCAAACGCGGCGAAGACGCAGCGCCGUCGCGCGCACACGUGGCCGCACAGGGCGCAUAAGCACCUAUGGGGCGCCAAGGGGGCGCUUCGAGGAACGCCCGGCCACCCGCCUCGGGGGCCCGCCAGAACCACGCGAGCGCGCCCUCGGCGUUUGGGCCUAGUUUCGCGCGCGGCACUAAGGCCCCGUCCAAGCCCAAACGAGGCGCCCCCCCCCCACCCCAACCCAAACCCACACCCCGGCAAGAGCCAAAAGCGGGAAGCGGCGCCAAGCGCGACCCUUGCCGGCACCCGAAAGGCGAAAAAAAGGGAGGGAAAGCGGCAGGCCCGUGCCCAAGCGGCCAAGCCCCCACCAACCAAACCCCGGCCGGCGGGCCCCCGCAAAGCGGAGACGCCCCAGACGCGGCACACCCAAACCCCCAGUUUGGCGGCCGCCGCAAAAUCCCGCCAACCAGAGCAGCGAACCCCACAACAAAAAAAAAACAGCCGAAGGACAGCAGCGUGUCGUUUUCUGCCCUUCAAACAUGAAGUUUUCACCCGCAACCACCAGCACAGCAGGCAGGAAUCGCGCCCCCUUCCUAGAGCAAAAGAAUUUUGAACUACGUGGAAAAAAAAACACUGCUUUCGGAAAGGCCCUUCUUCAUAAGAGCUGCAACCGCCACCGUAACAAUUCUAUCCCGUUUACAAAAGCCGGAAAACAGUGUGAAUCAAAGGUGCGG